GAUGAUGAACGCAGCGAAAUGCGAUAAGUAAUGUGAAUUGCAGAAUUCAGUGAAUCAUCGAAUCUUUGAACGCACAUUGCGCCCGCCAGUAUUCUGGCGGGCAUGCCUGUUCGAGCGUCAUUUCAACCAUCAAGCCCCCGGCUUGUGUUGGGGACCUGCGGCUGCCGCAGGCCCUGAAAACCAGUGGCGGGCUCGCUAGUCACUCCGAGCGUAGUAGUUACAUCUCGCUCUGGGCGUGCUGCGGGUUCCGGCCGUUAAAAGCCUUAUUUACCCAAGGUUGACCUCGGAUCAGGUAGGAAGACCCGCUGAACUUAAGCAUAUCAAUAAGCGGAGGA
rnacentral:misc_RNA from 1 species